UGGGGAAUUUUGGACAAUGGGCGCAAGCCUGAUCCAGCAAUGCCGCGUGCAGGAUGAAGGCCUUCGGGUUGUAAACUGCUUUUGUACGGAACGAAAAGGCUCUGGUUAAUACCUGGACAUAUGACGGUACCGUAAGAAUAAGCACCGGCUAACUACGUGCCAGCAGCCGCGGUAAUACGUAGGGUGCGAGCGUUAAUCGGAAUUACUGGGCGUAAAGCGUGCGCAGGCGGUUUUGUAAGACAGAGGUGAAAUCCCCGGGCUCAACCUGGGAACUGCCUUUGUGACUGCAAGGCUGGAGUGCGGCAGAGGGGGGAUGGAAUUCCGCGUGUAGCAGUGAAAUGCGUGAUAUGCGGAGGAACACCGAUGGCGAAGG
rnacentral:rRNA from 1 species